AGAACGCUGGCGGCGUGCUAAUACAUGCAGUCGAGCGGAGUUGUUCCUUCGGGGACAGCUUAGCGGCGGACGGGUGAGUAACACGUAGGCAACCUGCCUGUAAGACUGGGAUAACUUCCGGAAACGGAUGCUAAUACCGGAUACGUUGGUUUCUCGCAUGAGGAGCCAUGGAAAGUCGGGGUAACCUGACGCUUACGGAUGGGCCUGCGGCGCAUUAGCUGGUUGGUGGGGUAACGGCUCACCAAGGCGACGAUGCGUAGCCGACCUGAGAGGGUGAUCGGCCACACUGGGACUGAGACACGGCCCAGACUCCUACGGGAGGCAGCAGUAGGGAAUCUUCGGCAAUGGACGGAAGUCUGACCGAGCAACGCCGCGUGAGUGAUGAAGGCCUUCGGGUCGUAAAACUCUGUUGCCAGAGAA
rnacentral:rRNA from 1 species